rnacentral:rRNA from 1 species
GGAUGAACGCUGGCGGCGUGCCUAAUACAUGCAAGUCGAGCGAACGGACGAGAAGCUUGCUUCUCUGAUGUUAGCGGCGGACGGGUGAGUAACACGUGGAUAACCUACCUAUAAGACUGGGAUAACUUCGGGAAACCGGAGCUAAUACCGGAUGGUAUUUUGAACCGCAUGGUUCAAAAGUGAAAGACGGUCUUGCUGUCACUUAUAGAUGGAUCCGCGCUGCAUUAGCUAGUUGGUAAGGUAACGGCUUACCAAGGCAACGAUGCAUAGCCGACCUGAGAGGGUGAUCGGCCACACUGGAACUGAGACACGGUCCAGACUCCUACGGGAGGCAGCAGUAGGGAAUCUUCCGCAAUGGGCGAAAGCCUGACGGAGCAACGCCGCGUGAGUGAUGAAGGUCUUCGGAUCGUAAAACUCUGUUAUUAGGGAAGAACAUAUGUGUAAGUAACUGUGCACAUCUUGACGGUACCUAAUCAGAAAGCCACGGCUAACUACGUG